rnacentral:lncRNA from 1 species
CAUUCUUUGAUUGGAUGGACACUGGAGAAGACAUAGUUUAGAAGGAAAUCUGCUUGUUAAACCAAGAUGACAAUGGCAAUUUGUUACCUUCUGGAAAUAAGGGAGCAAUUAAGGGAGAAAUAAAUCUUCAAGGAUUUUCCUAAAUCUUUAACUCGUUUUACAGCAGCCUAUUACCAAGUGCUAGUGUGUAUAUUGGCUUCAUUUGGAACAUUGUCUUACCUAUAUUUGACACCUAAUAACUUUGGUGAUUAAUUGAUUGACUGAACAACCACUGGCAAAAAGAGUAAUAAGACAUUAAAAGUAAUAGUUGAGCACAUUUUAAGACAACGUGAUUAAUGUUCUUUGUAGAAACUUAAGAGGAUCCAACAGUCUACAUUCAUAGAAAUAUUGUAAGAAACAGAUGAAAUAAAGAUUUAUGAAAAGGC